UUUGAUUAGUUUGUUAAAGGACCAGGCGGCCAAGUGGGCGUUGCCGCUACUCAGGCAAGACUCCCCCUUGCUGGCAGACUAUACGGGGUUUUGCAAUCGUUUGGAGGCCGCGUUCGGCAACCCCCAGAAAGGGAGUCAAGCCAACCGGGCGAUUCGGCGUUUGAAACAGGGCAAGUCCACGGUGGCCGCAUAUACCACGGAGUUUCGGCUGUUGGCACAGG